AUACGUAGGGUGCAAGCGUUAAUCGGAAUUACUGGCGUAAGGCGUGCGCAGGCGGUUUUGUAAGACAGUGGUGAAAUCCCCGGGCUCAACCUGGGAACUGCCAUUGUGACUGCAAGGCUGGAGUGCGGCAGAGGGGGAUGGAAUUCCGCGUGUAGCCGUGAAAUGCGUAGAUAUGCGGAGGAACACCGAUGGCGAAGGCAAUCCCCUGGGCCUGCACUGACGCUCAUGCACGAAAGCGUGGGGAGCAAACAGGAUUAGAUACCCUGGUAGUCCACGCCCUAAACGAUGUCAACUGGUUGUUGGGGAUUUAUUUUCUCAGUAACGAAGCUAACGCGUGAAGUUGACCGCCUGGGGAGUACGGCCGCAAGGUUAAAACUCAAAGGAAUUGACGGGG
rnacentral:rRNA from 1 species